rnacentral:rRNA from 1 species
CCUACGGGUGGCUGCAGUCGAGAAUCUUCGGCAAUGGACGCAAGUCUGACCGAGCGACGCCGCGUGCGGGAUGAAGGCCUUCGGGUUGUAAACCGCUGUCGUAGGGGAACAAAUUUACGGGGGUUCUCCCUCGUAAUCGAGUGAUCCUAGGAGGAAGGAGAGGCUAAGCUCGUGCCAGCAGCCGCGGUAAGACGAGCUCUCCAAACGUUAUUCGGUAUUACUGGGCUUAAAGAGUUCGUAGGCGGUCUGGUAGGUGAGGUGUGAAAUCCCCCGGCUCAACCGGGGAACUGCGCUUCAAACCGCCGGACUUGAGGGAGACAGAGGUGGGCGGAACAGAUGGUGGAGCGGUGAAAUGCGUUGAUAUCAUCUGGAACACCGGUGGCGAAAGCGGCCCACUGGGUCUUUUCUGACGCUGAGGAACGAAAGCUAGGGUAGCGAACGGGAUUAGAUACCCCAGUAGUC